rnacentral:tRNA from 1 species
GCUCGUGUGGUGAAACGGCAGACACGCCAGACUUAGGAUCUGGUGCCGCAAGGCGUGUGGGUUCAAGUCCCUCCAUGAGCACCA